rnacentral:rRNA from 1 species
GACGAACGCUGGCGGCGUGCUUAACACAUGCAAGUCGAACGGAAAGGCCCUGCUUUUGUGGGGUGCUCGAGUGGCGAACGGGUGAGUAACACGUGAGUAACCUGCCCUUGACUUUGGGAUAACUUCAGGAAACUGGGGCUAAUACCGGAUAGGAGCUCCUGCUGCAUGGUGGGGGUUGGAAAGUUUCGGCGGUUGGGGAUGGACUCGCGGCUUAUCAGCUUGUUGGAGGGGUAGUGGCUUACAAGGCUUUGACGGGUAGCCGGCCUGAGAGGGUGACCGGCCACAUUGGGACUGAGAUACGGCCCAGACUCCUACGGGAGGCAGCAGUGGGGAAUAUUGCACAAUGGGCGGAAGCCUGAUGCAGCAACGCCGCGUGCGGGAUGACGGCCUUCGGGUUGUAAACCGCUUUCGCCUGUGACGAAGCGUGAGUGACGGUAAUGGGUAAAGAAGCACCGGCUAACUACGUG